UCGGUGAAGAGCACUAGCUCUCCAGUUUACUAAGCGAAUAAACGGGUACACUUUCGUUGAAAUCGCUUCUUGUCAUUGAUGUUUGCUUGUGAAGUGCAUUCUUACAUUUUACGCAUUUGAUGGCUGGCUUUUUCUUUCCUCCCUCAAGGUUGAAAGAAGUGAUGUUGCUUUCUGAAACGCAUUUCAUUAAUUUCCCUUUUCUUAGUUUUCUAAUCCUUAUUUUUUUUUGAUCUAUAUUCGGUUUGUUUACAUGCUCUGUCCGACUCAUGGUCCCACUACAUGGAAUCCUCAUUCUUGCACAGUCGUAGAAAAGUGCAUUACUAAUCUACUUAUAACUACUAUCCUUCUCUGUUUUUUUAACGCAACUACAUACUGGAAAUUGUUUUUUGGUGCUAUGUUUGAUUUUAUCCAUUACCAACUACUCUUCCGUAAUUCGCUAUCCGAAAUUCUCUUAUUAGGAUUAGGCUAAAAUUUUCUAAUGCUAAUCAGAUUGCCUUCUAAACGAGGGCUAAUUCGCCAAGUUUGUUUAGCCAAAUUAAGUGAAUUCGCUUGCAUCGUUGAAUGCGAUGAGUAAUGGAAUUAUAUAACGUUUUGAUGAAAUCCUCAG
rnacentral:misc_RNA from 1 species